GCAUAACGCGAAGAACCUUACCUGGCCUUGACAUGCCACUAACGAAGCAGAGAUGCAUUAGGUGCCCGUAAGGGAAAGUGGACACAGGUGCUGCAUGGCUGUCGUCAGCUCGUGUCGUGAGAUGUUGGGUUAAGUCCCGCAACGAGCGCAAUCCUUGCCAUUAAUUGCCAUCAUUUAGUUGGGCACUUUAAUGGGACUGCCGGUGACAAACCGGAGGAAGGUGGGAUGACGUCAAGUCCUCAUGGCCCUUAUGGCCAGGGCUUCACACGUAAUACAAUGGUCGGUACAGAGAGUUGCCAAGCCGCGAGGUGGAGCUAAUCUCAGAAAGCCGAUCGUAGUCCGGAUUGUUCUCUGCAACUCGAGAGCAUGAAGUCGGAAUCGCUAGUAAUCGCGGAUCAGCAUGUCGCGGUGAAUACGUUCCCGGGUCUUGUACACACCG
rnacentral:rRNA from 1 species